rnacentral:rRNA from 1 species
UACGUAGGCAGCAAGCGUUGUUCGGAGUUACUGGGCGUAAAGCGUGCGCAGGCGGUUGUGCAAGACAGAUGUGAAAUCCCCGGGCUUAACCUGGGAACUGCAUUUGUGACUGCACGGCUAGAGUGUGUCAGAGGGGGGUAGAAUUCCACGUGUAGCAGUGAAAUGCGUAGAUAUGUGGAGGAAUACCGCUGGCGAAGGCAGCCCCCUGGGAUAACACUGACGCUCAUGCACGAAAGCGUGGGGAGCAAACAGG